AAGCGUAACUUUAACUCCCAAAAUACCAUUAAUUUUUAUGAACCCCUAAUUUAUAAUGAAUGACUCCAUAUUUAUAUGGAAGACACCAUGCUAGGAUUAGUAACAAGAAUUUAUAAUUCUCCAAAAUGCAAAUAUAAACCAACAUGGAUAGACCAUUGGUAGUUACCGAACCUAAAUUCAAUGCAAUAACAUCCACAAGAAAACUCUGCAGUACUCACUCGUUAACCUAACACCAGCGCAUUACAGGAAAGAUUUAAAAAAAGAGAAGGAAUUCGGCAAAUGACGGCCCCGCCUGUUUACCAAAAACAUCGCCUCUUGACUUAUAAUAAGAGGUCCAGCCUGCCCAGUGAAUUUUAAACGGCCGCGGUAUCCUAACCGCGCGAAGGUAGCAUAAUCACUUGUUCUUUAAAUGGGGACUUGUAUCAACGGCAUCACGAGGGUUUUACUGUCUCCUCUUUUUGAUCAGUGAAAUUGAUCUUCCCGUGAAGAAGCGGGAAUAUUUUUAUAAGACGAGAAGACCCCAUGGAGCUUUAAACCAAAUAACAACUUAACCACUUAUCCCAUAAUAAAUUUAAGCCCUGUUAUAAGGUUUUUGGUUGGGGUGACCGCGGAGUAAAGCACAUCCUCCACGACGGAAAGAACAGAAUCUUUAUUUAAGAACCACACUUCUAGAAAUUAGUAUACUAACGUUUACUGACCCGACAAUCGAUCAACGGACCAAGUU
rnacentral:rRNA from 1 species